UUUAGCUGGCGUGGGCUCCUUUUCGUCCAUGCUCUCUGGUUAAAUCCAGUGCCAUCGCGCUUCUUGUGAGUCCCAGCGAGAGAAUGCGAAGGGAAGAGGCAGGACCAAACUUGAGGCGAAUCCAGUGGCAUGCCGAUGGGUCUCCAGGUAUGUGACCUCAGAGGAGCUUGAAUGAGAAUGUAAUACCAAGAUAAGUCGACUUUCAGUUCAACUGACUCUUUCCUGCAAGAUCCUUUGCCGCAGUGGGGGAAUUAAGAAGGGAAUAAGAUGGCAAGAAUGAGUCCAACAUUUCCAAGCAAGAUUGUUCUUUUUCCCUUUUUGUUUACUUUGUCCAGACUCUAGCCAAAAAGAUUCAUCUCAAGGAAUUAUAUUCUUGGAGAUGUUGGAAAAAGAUUCCUGGGUCUUGGAAGAUAAUUACUAGAAAUAUGCAGGGGAGGAAUAAAAUUGAAAGGUGUUUUUCUUAGAGAACACCAUUUGUCAGAUUUAUCAGGAAUUUGAAGAUUUAUAGAAGGAACAGAAAGCCGCUGAUGGUUGAAAUGGAGCAUAUACUUCUUUGGAUUGAGGACUGUAAUCAAAAACAAAUCCCAGUCAGUUUGGCAUUGAAGUUAGUUGCUGCACUGAAGGAAAAUGGUAAUUACAAGGACAUCUAUUUACUGCCAGUAAAGGCUGGUUUCCUUGUUUCAGAAGUCAACAUGAAUUGAUUAAUGUUAAGCUACCUGGUGAAGCUACAAGCUCAGAUAAGGAUGCUACUGUGAAAUUUGCACUCAAGAUUCCAAGAAUUACAGGCAGUCCUUGCUUUGCACAGUAGCGAGAGACUGUACUAUGCAAAAAAACUGCAGGAUUUGGAUGGGAUGUAAAUGGAGUUAGAAGAUAAAGAAUAUCCUGGGAAUGUUGACACUGGUGCCAUUCAAGAAAUAGUUCUAGAUACGCAGGAGGCAGAAGGCAGCGAAGGCGAAUAUAAAGUUUUACGUGAGUAAAGCAGUCGUAAAGGAUGAACGUCUCAGAAGUCAUGCUGUUGAAAAACUUCACAUUGAAGGAACUUUCAGAGAUGUUUCAUGACAUUGACAGCACAAAGGAUAAAAUUUUGGAAGCUGAUUCAAACUUAGAAAGGAGUAUGACAGUUCGCCAAGGCAGAGAUAAGAUGCUCACUCCAUGUUAUAAGUCAUAUAAUGUGAAGAAAGCAAGCACUUUUCAAACUACUUGAUACAUUUUUUAUAAAGAAA